rnacentral:sRNA from 1 species
CGCGGCCGGGCGCCAACACUGGAGGCCCGGCCUGAUAGUCUAU